UAGUGGGGAUAACGUUCGGAAACGGACGCUAAUACCGCAUACGUCCUACGGGAGAAAGCAGGGGACCUUCGGGCCUUGCGCUAUCAGAUGAGCCUAGGUCGGAUUAGCUAGUUGGUGAGGUAAUGGCUCACCAAGGCGACGAUCCGUAACUGGUCUGAGAGGAUGAUCAGUCACACUGGAACUGAGACACGGUCCAGACUCCUACGGGAGGCAGCAGUGGGGAAUAUUGGACAAUGGGCGAAAGCCUGAUCCAGCCAUGCCGCGUGUGUGAAGAAGGUCUUCGGAUUGUAAAGCACUUUAAGUUGGGAGGAAGGGCAGUUACCUAAUACGUGAUUGUUUUGACGUUACCGACAGAAUAAGCACCGGCUAACUCUGUGCCAGCAGCCGCGGUAAUACAGAGGGUGCAAGCGUUAAUCGGAAUUACUGGGCGUAAAGCGCGCGUAGGUGGUUUGUUAAGUUGGAUGUGAAAUCCCCGGGCUCAACCUGGGAACUGCAUUCAAAACUGACUGACUAGAGUAUGGUAGAGGGUGGUGGAAUUUCCUGUGUAGCGGUGAAAUGCGUAGAUAUAGGAAGGAACACCAGUGGCGAAGGCGACCACCUGGACUGAUACUGACACUGAGGUGCGAAAGCGUGGGGAGCAAAC
rnacentral:rRNA from 1 species